CGAGGCCCCGCGUUUGCGGAGUGAAAACGGCAAUUAGGCCUCGCAAUUAGCUCGAUGCGACGGAAUCUUCAAUGCGGCGUCUGAAGUGGACGGAGCUUUUCAAAAUAUCCGGAAUUAUGGAGGUGGAAGUUUCACACAGCUGAAAGUCCUGCUGUAUGGCAUAAAUCAACUUUUUGUAACACCUCUCAAGCUGGAAGGAAGGAAGGAAGGAAGGAAGGAAGGAAGAAAGGAAGAAAUCUUUCUUGCUAUUCUGCUCAAGCAUAUGUAAAUAGAGUGAGGCUCAUGGAAUACCACUCAAGGAACAAGUUUUGUGGAAUCCUGGUUUUAAGGAGCUGUGCAAUCUUUUCUUCAACCCUUAAUGGUUCACUCCUUCCUUCCUAAUGGCUUGCUGAUUCCUUCCCCAAGAAAGAAAGUUGAAGAAAGUAUGCUGGGAGUAUUCUGCAAGUCAUGUCCUAACUCUAAGAAGAACACAUAGAUGGGAUUAGGAUAUUAUAGGUUAAAAGCCAAUCCCAUCUCCAAAU